GGGGAAUAUUGGACAAUGGGCGAAAGCCUGAUCCAGCAAUGCCGCGUGAGUGAUGAAGGCCUUAGGGUUGUAAAGCUCUUUUACCCGGGAUGAUAAUGACAGUACCGGGAGAAUAAGCUCCGGCUAACUCCGUGCCAGCAGCCGCGGUAAUACGGAGGGAGCUAGCGUUGUUCGGAAUUACUGGGCGUAAAGCGCACGUAGGCGGCUUUGUAAGUUAGAGGUGAAAGCCUGGAGCUUAACUCCAGAACUGCCUUUAAGACUGCAUCGCUUGAAUCCAGGAGAGGUGAGUGGAAUUCCGAGUGUAGAGGUGAAAUUCGUAGAUAUUCGGAAGAACACCAGUGGCGAAGGCGGCUCACUGGACUGGUAUUGACGCUGAGGUGCGAAAGCGUGGGGAGCAAAC
rnacentral:rRNA from 1 species